UAGGGAAUCUUCGGCAAUGGGGGGAACCCUGACCGAGCAACGCCGCGUGAGUGAAGAAGGUUUUCGGAUCGUAAAGCUCUGUUGUUAAGGAAGAACGAGUGUGAGAAUGGAAAGUUCAUACUGUGACGGUACUUAACCAGAAAGGGACGGCUAACUACGUGCCAGCAGCCGCGGUAAUACGUAGGUCCCGAGCGUUGUCCGGAUUUAUUGGGCGUAAAGCGAGCGCAGGCGGUUAGAUAAGUCUGAAGUUAAAGGCAGUGGCUCAACCAUUGUAGGCUUUGGAAACUGUUUAACUUGAGUGCAGAAGGGGAGAGUAGAAUUCCAUGUGUAGCGGUGAAAUGCGUAGAUAUAUGGAGGAACACCGGUGGCGAAAGCGGCUCUCUGGUCUGUAACUGACGCUGAGGCUCGAAAGCGUGGGGAGCGAACAGG
rnacentral:rRNA from 1 species